AUAAGCAAAAUAAGGGCGUAUGGGGAUGCCUAGCUCUCAGAGGCGAUGAAAGGCGUGAUAAGCUGCGAAAAGCUACGGGGAUGAGCACACAUCAGACGAUCCUAGAUACCUGAAUGGGGCAACCCAAUACAUUGAAGAUGUAUUACUCCGAUAGGAGGGCAAACCCGCUGAACUGAAACAUCUAAGUAGGCGAGGAGAAGAAAACAAAAGUGAUUCCGUAAGUAGUGGCGAGCGAACGCGGAUUAGCCCAAACCAAUGUUGUUACGGCAAUUUGGGGUUGUAGGACCACGACAUUUUUGCAUGCAGAAAGAAUAACCUGGAAAGGUUAACCAAAGAGGGUGAUAGUCCCGUAUGGGUAAUAAAUGUAAAGAUAGUGGUAUCCUGAGUAGGGCGGGCACGUGAAACCCUGUCUGAAUUUGGCGGGACCAUCCGCUAAGGCUAAAAUACUCCUGAGAGACCGAUAGUGAACCAGUACCCGUGAGGGAAAGGUGAAAAGAACCGUGAAUAACGGAGUGAAAUAGAUCCUGAAACCAUACGCCUACAAGCGGUCGGAGCCCUUUCACGGCGUGCCUUUUGCAUAAUGAGCCUACGAGUUAACGUUGCUGGCAAGGUUAAGUGGUUAAGCCACGGAUCCGUAGCGAAAGCGAGUCUGAAUAGGGCGCUUUAGUCAGUAGUGUUAGACGCGAAACCGUGUGAUCUACCCAUGGACAGGUUGAAGCUGUGCGUUGACGUUGAAAAGUCUUGGAUGAUCUGUGGGUAGGGGUGAAAGGCCAAUCAAACUCGGAAAUAGCUCGUACUCCCGAAAUGCAUUUAGGUGCAGCGUAAAGUUAUAUAGAGGUAGAGCUACUGAUUGGAUGCGGGGGGGCGCCUGAAAACCUCUGCUAUCCGUUUAUAUAAGAGUGAGGGCCGUGAUCCUAGGUCCAAGUAGACGCGAAACCGUGUGAUCUACCAUGGGCAGGAUGAAGCUGUGGUAACACACAGUGGAGGUCCGAACCGGUUGACGUUGAAAAGUCUUCGGAUGACUUGUGGGUAGGGGUGAAAGGCCAAUCAAACUCGGAAAUAGCUCGUACUCCCCGAAAUGCAUUUAGGUGCAGCGCUGGUUUAGUUAUAUAGAGGUAGAGCUACUGAUUGGAUGCGGGGGCUUCAUCGCCUACCAAUUCCUGACAAACUCCGAAUGCUAUAUAAUGUUUACCAGCAGUGAGGGCUUGGGUGCUAAGGUCCAAGUCCGAGAGGGAAAGAACCCAGACCAUCAGCUAAGGUCCCCAAAUGUUGCUAAGUUGAAAUAACGCGGUUUGUCUGCAUAGACAGCUAGGAUGUUGGCUUGGAAGCAGCCAUUCAUUUAAAGAGUGCGUAACAGCUCACUAGUCGAGCGGACGAGCAUGGAUAAUAAUCGGCAUAAGUAUAUUACCGAAGCUAUGGAUUUGACUUUGAGUCAAGUGGUAGGGGAGCAUUCUAACUGGGUGAAAGGUGUGAUGUGAGUAUGCUGGACUGUUUAGAAAAGAAAAUGUAGGCAUAAGUAACGAUAAUGCGGGCGAGAAACCCGCACACCGAAAACUAAGGUUUCCGCAGCUAUGCUAAUCAGCUGCGGGUUAGUCGGUCCUAAGGCGAACCCGAAAGGGACAGUCGAUGGCAACGGGUUAAUAUUCCCGUACUACUUAUAAUUGUGAUGGGUGACGGAGUGAUGAAAGCGCCGCGAACUGACGGAAUAGUUCGUUGAAGUACCUACCUAUAGGACUCGUAGCAAAUGCGCGAGUCUUGGGGAAAUACGAUAGUACUCGGAGUCUUCGGACAAUGGGAUAGUGCGCCUAAGGGCUUCCAAGAAAAACUCUAAACUUAGAUUAUAAGUACCGUACCGUAAACCGACACAGGUAGUCGAGGAGAGAAUCCUAAGGUGCUCGAGAGAUUCAUGGCUAAGGAAUUAGGCAAAAUAGACCCGUAACUUCGGGAGAAGGGAGCCCCAGCAAUGGGGCCGCAGUGAAAGGCCCAGGCGACUGUUUAUCAAAAACACAGGGCUCUGCAAAAUCGUAAGAUGAAGUAUAGGGCCUGACACCUGCCCGGUGCUGGAAGGUUAAGAGGGAUGUUAUCGCAAGAGAAGCAUUGAAUCGAAGCCCCAGUAAACGGCGGCCGUAACUAUAACGGUCCUAAGGUAGCGAAAUUCCUUGUCGGGUAAGUUCCGACCUGCACGAAUGGUGUAACGAUCUGGCACUGUCUCAGCCAUGAGCUCGGUGAAAUUGUAGUACGGUGAAGAUGCCGUUUACCCGCACGGGACGAAAAGACCCGUGCACCUUUACUAUAGCUUAAUUUGACUUGGAUAUGAUGUGUAGGAUAGGUGGGAGCUUGAAGUGGCGUCGCCAGGCGUUUGGAGUCACGUUGAAAUACCACCCUUUUUUUGGGCCUAACCCCAUGGGGGACAUUGCUUGGUGGGUAGUUUGACUGGGGUGGUCGCCUCCAAAAGAGUAACGGAGGCUUCAAAGGUUCCCUCAGCACGCUUGGUAACCGUGCGUAGAGUGCAAUAGCAAAGGGAGCUUGACUGAGAGACAACAAGUCGAUCAGGUACGAAAGUAGAGCAUAGUGAUCCGGUGGUUCCGCAUGGAAGGGCCAUCGCUCAAAGGAUAAAAGGUACGCCGGGGAUAACAGGCUGAUCUCCCCCAAGAGCUCAUAUCGACGGGGGGGUUUGGCACCUCGAUGUCGGCUCGUCACAUCCUGGGGCUGGAGAAGGUCCCAAGGGUUCGGCUGUUCGCCCAUUAAAGUGGCACGCGAGCUGGGUUCAGAACGUCGUGAGACAGUUCGGUCCCUAUCUACUGUGGGCGUUAGAAAUUUGAGUGGAUCUGACUCUAGUACGAGAGGACCGAUUGGACAAACCUCUGGUGUAUCUGUUUGUCCGCCAGGAGCACCGCAGAGUAGCUACGUUUGGAAGGGAUAAGCGCUGAAAGCAUAUAAGCGCGAAACCCACCACAAGAUGAGAUUUCUUUUUAAGGGUCGUAGGAGAUGACUACGUUGAUAGGCUAUAGAUGUAAAGGCAGUAAUGUCAUAGUCGAGUAGUACUAAUAACCCGUAAGCUUAUUGUA
rnacentral:rRNA from 1 species